CGGAACCUGACCAACAUGAACUUGCUGCUCUGAAGUUGUGGUAGGAGUCUGAGCUACUCCCCCAAUCUGCGAAAUAUUUGGUGCAACAGAGAUCAAUCCCGCCUGAGUUAAUGUACCAAACAUACUCAGGAGCUGUGUUAAAGUCUCCUGAAGUCCGGGGAUAACAGCAGGUGCUUCUAGUACCUGUCCCCCAACUGGAGUUACUGGCUGCUCCUCAAUUGCUGCUCUGACAGGUGCUCUAGUCGCGACACGUGCCCUUUCUCGGCCUCUACCUCAGCCUCUGCCUCGGCCCCGGCCUCUUGCAACCCUAGUAGUAUGUGAGGAUGCCUGCUCAGCUAACCCGGUAGCGCGUGUCCUAACUAUCUGUGAGAGAAUAAAGAUAUAAAGGCUCAAAUUCCACAAUCAACAAAUCUGCACGACAGGAAUAAAAGAAGUGGAAAUUUUCUAACUGUUUUGUAGCCUAUCGAAGAUAAGUACAGACGUCUUCGUGCCGAUCCGCAAGACUCUACUAGACUCGUUCAUGACUCGUAGAACCUAUGAACCUAGAGCUCUUAUACCAACUUGUCAUGACCCAAAAUCCCACCACAGGCAUCGUGAUGGCACUUAGUCUCUAAGACUAAGUAAGCCGAUUUCAAUUACAUUUCAAGCCUUUUUUUUAUAUAUAGAAACUAGCAGCGUAAAUAAUAAAAUAACCUCCCAAGACUGGUAGUACUGAGUCACGAACUCUAACUGAAUACAUGCAAUGAUCUCAAGGAUCAAAUAAAUAGCAUUGUUCGAAUAAGAGUUGACAGUACAAUAAAAUGGAAAGACUCUAAGGGAUUGCGACGACCAAGCAGCUCUACCUUGAAUCAUUGCGAUCACACUUUAGCUCUGUCCGAGUCCGAUAUCUCCAACACAUGACUCUGCACAAAAAUAUGCAGAAGUGUAGUAUGAGUACACCACGGUCAGUAUCCAGUAAGUAUCAAGACUAACCUCAGUAGAGUAGAGACGAGGUAUAGUCAAGACACUCACUUGUUUAAUAACCUGUGCAAUAUAAUAUAAAAAAUAAUGAAAAACAAAUAACAAUAACGGCAACACAAAUCAAACAGUGAUAUGCAUAGCAGGGCAACAAGAACACCAUUAAUAUUGCUCAACAAAUAAUAAAUACAAGUACACCCAAUUAAAUCAAGUCCUUCAAAUAAAUGUCUUUCAAAUAUAAUUUUCUCAAAUAAAUAUCUUUCAAAUGCAAAUUCUUUCAUAUAAUAUUUUUUGAAUAAAAUUCCUUCCAAAUAAAUAUUUUGAAUAUAAUUCUUUCAAUUAAAAGUCACCAUGUGACACCCCAUUUCAUAAUCAUAAAAAUAUGGGUCUCACCCUUUUUUCAUAUUUAUCGUAAAUAUGGGUCUCAGCCCACUUUCAUAUUUUCAUGGCACUUCGUGCCCAAAAUUAAAUCAUUAUAUUUUCCUCGCACCUCGUGCCCACGUUUCAUAUCCCAAUUGCACGGACGAUUCACGUGUCAAUAUCAUCAUUAUUUACUCACGGCACCUCGUGCCCACAUUUUAUUUUAUAAUCCGCUUGGCAAUAGCCACAUGCUCUCAUUUUCAACCUAGAUUAGACUAUUAUCAAGUCUACCGAAACAACAAGACAAAUUUCACAAGAUAUAAAAAAAAACACAAGAAAGAUCACAACAUCACAUAGAAACUACCAAUGCAAUAACUCCACAUCGUCAUAUAUCAUCCCUGACAAUAUCCACUCUUAUCUCUCCUAUAGCCACCCUUAUCACUCUUAUAAUAGCCUCCCUUUAUCCAUCUGCCCUCACUAUAUCAAUAGCCACCCUUAUCGCUCAUAUAGCCACCCUUAUCGCUCCAAUAGCCAUCCUCAUCGCUUAUAUAGCUACCCUUAUCGCUCCGCCCAGAUAAUAUCCCAACAUACAUAACAACAGUGAAAUGCCUCCCUUAUACCCACAUAAUAUCAACAGUGAAAUGCCACCCUUAUAUCCUCAAAAUGAUAACUCAACUAACAUAACAAUUUACAUUGAAUAUUAUCACGGCAACGUAACAAAAUCAGUUCAUAUCACAAUUUGCCCAAUGGGUACAAUCAAUUUCAAGAAUAUAACAAAAUCAAUUAAUUUCACAACAAUCAGCCCAAUGCUCCACACAAAAACUCAAAAACAAUCAACAGAGAUAGAAAACAAUCAACAUAGGGCACACCUUUAUUAAUCCAAAUUUAGAUAAUUAUAUUAACACUUCUUCUUAAGCUUGCUUAAUUAAUUAUUUGCAUAGAGAAAAUUCAUAAUAAAAUUAAACUCCAAGAAAUAUCAAACCAUCAAACUCACGGAAUUCACAUAAGUAUACAAGUAAUAAUUAAAUCGAAUUGUCAUAUAAAAACAACUUCAAUAAUUGUAAUUUGUGGCAUGGCAAUUAGAUUAUUAAAUAUGUGCCAACAAUUAUCCAAUUUACUACACAAUAUACCGAAGUCUUUAUCUCAAUAAAUUUUGCACAUAUAAGCCCGAGUACGUACUCGUCACCUCGCGUACACGGCUUUUCACAUUUCAAAAAUGGCAUAAAGACUCGAUGCAUAAGGGGUAAUUCCCCCACUCAAGGUUAGGCAAGACACUUAUCUUUUUGAAGUUAUGCCGAUAUUCCAAAAUCACCUUCUUGCUUGAAUUAACCUCCGGACAGCUCAAAUCUAUCUAAAUUAAUUGUACAACUUCAUUAAAAUUCAUCAAAAACAAAUUCCGGAUAAUAAAACGUUGACUUAAAAAUUUAUUCUAAAAAGUCAACAAAAGUCAAUGUGGGGCCCGCCCCUCGGAACCCGACAUAAUUUCUAUGAAAUUCGAUCACUCAUUCCGAUACGAGUCCAACCAUACCAAUUUUAUCGAAUUCCAAUAACAACUCAACCUCCAAAUCUUAAAUUUUCGCUUUUGGAAGAUUUUGCAAAAAACUUGAUUUCUUCCAUUAAAAUUCGAAUUAAAUGAUAAAUAUAACCAUAGAUACAUGAAGUAUAAUCACUUUAGGAUGUAGAAAACUUACCCCAGUCGAAGUCAUGAAGAAACCCUCAAAAUCGCCCAAGAACCAAGGUCAAAAAUUAUUUCUUUUGUGUUAUGAACUCAAACCCUCGAUUUGGAAUUUGACACUGUCUGCCCAGAUUUCCUUCUUCGCGAACGCGACCGUCCUCUCGCGUACACAUAGACCAACUUGACUGCCUCUCCACUUUACUCUUCGCGAACGCGACACAUGACUCACGAACGUGAUGCUUUACUAGCUCAGACCUUCGCGAACGCGACCAUAACCUCGCGAACGCGUAGAACAAGGACCUGGGGUCCCCAACUUCCUCACUCCUCUUUGCGAACGCGACACUGCUCCCGCGUUCGCGAUGCACACGCAGACCACACUUUCGCGUUCGCGUCCUCCCCUUCGCGAAUGCGAAGAACAAAUCUCACCACUUAGAAAAUACUUCGCGAAUGCGAGGGCCCACUUGCGAACGCGAAAGAGGAAACCAGAAGAAUGCAACAGGAGAUAUUAGUAAUCUUCCCAAGGCCAAAAAUGAUCAGUUAACCACCCGAAACUCACCCGAGGCCCUCGGGACCUCAACCAAACAUACAAACGCAUCCCAUAACAUCAUAUGAACUUAGUCGAACCUUCAUAUCACCUUCAACAAUACCAAAAACACGAAUUACACACGGAUUCAAGUCUAAUGAACUUAGAAAUUUUUGAAUUCCACAAAUGACGUUGAAACCUACCAAACCAUGUCCGAAUGACCUCAAAUUUUGCACACAAGUAAGAAAUGACACAACAAAGCUAUUCAAAUUUCUGGAAUCGGAUUCUGACCCCGAUAUCAAAAGGUCAACCCCCCGGUCAAACCUCUAAAAAAUUUAUCUUUCGUCAUUUCAAGCCUAAUUCCACUACAAACCUCCAAAUAAUUUUCCAAAUACACUCCUAAGUCCAUAAUCACCAUACGGAGCUAUUGACAUCAUCAAAAUUUCAUUCCGGAGUCGUUUUCUCAAAAGUUAACUCUCUGGUCAACUCUUUCCAUUUAAGCUUCUAAAUAAGGAUUGUUCUUUUAAUUUAAUUUCGAAUCUUCAGUAAUUCAAACUCGACCACACCCACGGGUCAUAAUACAUAUUGCGAAACUUCUCGAGAUAUUAAGUCACUGAACGGGGCGUAAAUUCUUAAAACGACAAGUCGGGUCGUUACACAAACUAUCCAAAUGUGCCUUUGGGCAAGAUAGAGUGGAGUAUCUUGGCCACAUUAUCUCUUGUAAAAGGGUAGCUACUAACCUUACCAAGAUUGAUUCAAUGGUUAAUUGGCCUGUGACCAGGUCAAUGAAAGCUCUUAGGGGGGUUUUGGGACUCACUGGGUACUGCAGGAGGUUUGUGAAAUCUUAUGGAAUCAUUAGUAGAUCUCUAACUAACUUACUCAAGAAAAAUUCAUUCCAGUGGAAUGAGGAAGCAGAAUUGGCCUUUCAGCAACUGAAGACAGCCAUGUCUACAACACCUUCUUAGCCUUGGCUGACUUUACCAAAUCUUUUAUUGUUGAAAUUGAUGCUUGUGCUACAAGUAUAGGGGUUAUCCUAAUGCAAGAAGGGAGACUUAUAGCUUACCUUAACAACGCAUUAGCCUUGAAGAACGGGGGUUUAUCUACAUAUGAGAAGGAAUAUUUAGCUAUCCUAACUGUAGUAGAAAAGUGGAGGCAUUACUUGCAGGGUGGUUGCUUUAUUAUAAGAACAGACCAUCAAAGCUUGUAGUACCUUCUGGAGCAGAAAGUAACCACAACUCUUCAACAAAGGGGUCUUACUAAACUCCUGGGAUUGGAUUAUGAGGUUCAGUACAAAAAGGGAUCUGAAAAUAGGGCAACUAAUGCCUUUUCUAGAAGAAUGAAAGAGGGUGGAGAGUGUACAUUAAUUACUAGUCAUCUCUUCUACACAAGCUACCUAGUUACAAAAGGUAUGUCUCAACUAUGAGGGUGAUCUUGCAGCUUCUCAACUACUAGGAGCACUGACAGUAUCUACUAAGGACUAUUCCUUGAAUCAAGGGGUGAUCAGGUCUAAACAGAAAAUCCAUGUGGGAAAAGGAAAUGAACUAAGACAGAAAAUAUGGGAAGAGUUGCAUCAGUCACCAGUUGGGGGCCAUUUGGGUCAGCAGGGCAUACAUGAGAGUGAAGUCCAUCUUCUACUGGCCUAGCAUGAAGACAGAAAUUUUCAGGAAGGUGAGUGAAUGUGAUGUAUGUCAAAGGGUGAAGAAAGAACAAGUUCAUUCUCCAGGGUUAAUACAACCCCUCUCAAUACCUGAACAUGCUUGGCAUGACAUAUCACUAGAUUUUGUGGAAGGGUUACCUUUUUCUGGACAAAAGAGUGCCAUAUGAGUGGUAGUGGACAGGUUCACUAAAUAUGGGCAUUUCCUAGCACUUAAAUACCCCUUCACAACUCAAGAGGUGGCAGACCUAUUCCUUAAAGAAAUCUACAGGCUACAUGGGCUUCCCAAAACUAUAGUAUCAGAUAAAGAAGCUAUUUUCACCAGCCAUUUCUGAUAGCAUCUCUUUAAAACCUUGGGAACUAAACUCAACAUGAGCUCAGCAUAUCACCCACAAUCUGAUGGGCAGAAAGAAAGGCUUAAUAGAUGCUUGGAGACUCAUCUCAGAGCCAUGAUCUUUGAUAAACAUAAACAGUAGACUAAAUGGUUACAUUUGGCAGAAUGGUGGUACAAUACAAAUUACCACACUUCCCUUAAAACCACACCAUUUGAGGCUUUGUAUGGCUACCCACCAGUCUAGUUACCACUGGGAUUCCUAGCCAACCCAAACCAGAACUCAACAGGGGUGUGUCUAGCUCAAAGGCAACAAGCGCUUCAGACACUUAAAGAAAAUCUCACUCAAGCUCAGUCAAGAAUGAAGUUCUACGCAGAUCGACUAAGGAUUGAACGAACUCUGGAGGUUGGGGACCAAGUCUACCUCAAACUUUAGCCCUAUCGACAAUCUUCUAUUGAUGUAAGGAAAAAUGUUAAACUAUGUGCCCGCUACUAUGGCCUUACAAGACUUUAUAAAAGAUCGGAACAGUGGCUUACCGAUUAGAACUACCAGUAGUCUCCCAGCUACAUCCGGUCUUCCAUGUGUCUCAGUUGAAGAAGCGAGUGGGCCCUGCUAUAGUUCCUCAGUCGCAACCUCUAGUGCGUGAUGUAGAAGGCAUAGUAUUGAUCCAACCUUUGGCGAUUUUACAAAGAAGAAUGGUUAAAGUCAACAAUGGGGUAGCAGUGAAGGUGUUGAUUUAAUGGGCUAAUCUAGGAAAAGACGACGCUUCUUGGGAGGAUUGGGGCUAUAUCAAGAGCAGAUUCCCAGAAUUUAUGGCUCAACGACGACCUUGAGGACAAGGUUGUUCUUGAAGGAGUGGGGAAUGUUAUGUCUGAGGAAGCUUAGGGUUUGAUUUAGGAAAGUGUCGGAGAAUGAAGAAGACCUUCCUAUCUG
rnacentral:lncRNA from 1 species